UGUGAUUAAAAUUAAAUGGCAAAUUGGGAUAAAAUUUAAGAGGCCCUCUUAUAUAAGAGGCACAAACAAUACUAAGAGGUGGUGACGUGGCAAUCAUGUGGGUGAUUUGUUGAAAAAAAAGGGAGGAAAAAGUCUCUCUUUAUUUCCUGAAUCAUCUGACGACAAAUAACGACGGCGGCAUCUAGCCCUGGGAGUUCGGCUAAACCGGGUUAUUCGGGUCGGUUUGUUCGGUUUGGAGGAAAGUCGGUUUGUUAAACAGAGGAGAAGACUAGGAAGAUCGAUUUAUCAAUCUCGAUUGAACAAGAUGGUAAGUUUUAUUGUUUCUCAGUUCAUUU
rnacentral:sRNA from 1 species